AACUGUUCUUAUCAGUUUAAUAUCUGAUACGUCCCCUAUCUGGGGACCAUAUAUUAAAUAGAUUUUUGGAACAGGGAGAUGGAAUAGGGGCUUGCUCCGUCCACUCCGCAUCGACCUGGUAUUGCAGUACCUCCAGGAACAGUCC
rnacentral:snRNA from 1 species